AGAUGAAGCCUUUACAUAAGGCAACAUUUUUUAUGAUUUAUAAUGUAAGGCAACAUUUUUUAUGAUUUAUAUUCCCAUUUGCUUUCCAAAGGGAUCUAAGGUAGCUUAUGAGAUUAACAGGUUACAGAUUGUAUUAUUUCUAAGUUGUACAAGGAGUGAGAAAGUAAUGUUCAGAGGCUUAGGAGAGGUGGGUGAAGGUGCUCCCUGGCAGGUUUGGGGUUUGAAUUUUGACCAGACAGUCACUUUUCUUGACUCUCCUGCCCUACGCUGGCCUAUGUGACUUACCAGGAUAUCCGUGCUGUUGGCAACUUUAAGGAGCAGACAGUGAUUGCCGUCAAGGCCCCUCCGCAGACGAGACUGGAAGUGCCCGACAGGACUGAGGUCUCAACUCAAAUGUCACUUCCUCAAGGAAGCCUUCUCUGAUUACCUCCAGACUUCAUAAACACCUGUGCUUUUCCGCUGCCUUUAAUUUAAUCUCCAUUUGCUGAGGACAACCUGCAGAUAUAUCUCAAGAGCACCCAAGGGCCCAUCGAAGUCUACCUGUGCCCAGAGGAGGUGCAGGAGCCGGACAGUCCUUCCGAGGAGCCUCUCCCCUCUACCUCCACCCUCUGCCCCAGCCCUGACUCUGCCCAGCCCAGCAGCAGCACCGACCCUAGCA
rnacentral:lncRNA from 10 species